AGAAUCAACGCUGGCGGCGUGCCUAACACAUGCAAGUCGAACGCGAAAGGGGAGCAAUCCCUGAGUAGAGUGGCAAACGGGUGAGUAACACGUGGGUGACCUGCCUUCGAGUGGGGGAUAACGUUCCGAAAGGAACGCUAAUACCGCAUGACAUCCUGCUUUUGGAGAAGCGGAGAUCAAAGCUGGGGAUUCGCAAGAACCUAGCGCUUGAAGAGGGGCCCACGCCUGAUUAGCUAGUUGGUGAGGUAACGGCUCACCAAGGCUACGAUCAGUA
rnacentral:rRNA from 1 species